rnacentral:rRNA from 1 species
UACGUAGGGUGCGAGCGUUUGUCCGGAAUUAUUGGGCGUAAAGAGCUCGUAGGCGGUUUGUCACGUCUGCUGUGAAAUCCCGAGGCUCAACCUCGGGCCUGCAGUGGGUACGGGCAGACUGGAGUGCGGUAGGGGAGAAUGGAAUUCCUGGUGUAGCGGUGGAAUGCGCAGAUAUCAGGAGGAACACCGGUGGCGAAGGCGGGUCUCUGGGCCGAUACUGACGCUGAGGAGCGAAAGCGUGGGGAGCGAACAGG